rnacentral:tRNA from 8 species
GCCGGCAUAGCUCAGUUGGUAGAGCAACUGAUUUGUAAUCAGUAGGUCCCGGGUUCGACUCCUGGUGCCGGCACCA